rnacentral:rRNA from 1 species
AGAGUUUGAUCCUGGCUCAGAACGAACGCUGGCGGCACGCCUAACACAUGCAAGUCGAGCGCACUUAUGACCUUCGGGUUAUAAGCGAGCGGCGGACGGGUUAGUAACGCGUGGGAACGUACCCUUUACUACGGAAUAGCCUUUGGAAACGAAGAGUAAUACCGUAUACGCCCUUCGGGGGAAAGAUUUAUCGGUAAAGGAUCGGCCCGCGUUAGAUUAGAUAGUUGGUGGGGUAAUGGCCUACCAAGUCUACGAUCUAUAGCUGGUUUGAGAGGAUGAUCAGCAACACUGGGACUGAGACACGGCCCAGACUCCUACGGGAGGCAGCAGUGGGGAAUCUUAGACAAUGGGCGAAAGCCUGAUCUAGCCAUGCCGCGUGAGUGAAGAAGGCCCUAGGGUCGUAAAACUCUUUCGCCAGAGAUGAUAAUGACAGUAUCUGGUAAAGAAACCCCGCUAACU